CCCGAACACUCCACACAUCCACAUACUACACACACCCACAAACACAACUCAGAAACACACACAUAUUUCAUACAUCACACACAUAUGUAAGUAUACCACACACAUACACACCUAUGCCACACACACACAGUCCAGACACAAUCCGCAUACACCAACACCACACACAGACAUACACAUAACACACAGCACACACAUGCUCCACAAACUCACAUACCAUAAACACACAAUAUACACACACCACCCAAAACAACACACAUGCACCCCCACACCACACAUACAUAUUACAGAAACGCAUACAAACCACACAACCAUAUGCUACACACACACACACACACACAAACACACACACACACACACACANACACACACACACACACACACACUCCCACUUCCUCCCUUGUUAGGAAUUUUAUGAACACAUGGUUAACCUGGGCCAGAUCCUAUAUGAAAAAUAAACAUCAAAUAGAAGUUUAAGAGGACCAGUGUGGCUGUGUAGAGCACACAUUUAAUCCUAGCACUCAGGAGGCAGAGGCAGGUGGAUAUCUGAGUUCAAGGCCAGCCUGGUCUACACAGAUUUUCUCGCACAGAAGGGUAAUGUCUAGAGAUGCUACCUCAAAACAACAAGGAAGAGAUCAAGCUGCAGAAUGACUACAACAGCAGGAGGACUUCAGGGUUAGAGAGUGGUUCAAGGAAGCCAUGAAGCAAGGGAAAGCUGGGGGCAGGGACAGAAACAGUCAGAGCAGGGUCCGCAAGUAUCUGGGAUCU
rnacentral:lncRNA from 1 species